UACGGGGGGGGCAAGCGUUGUUCGGAAUUACUGGGCGUAAAGGCUCGUAGGUGGCCAACUAAGUCAGACGUGAAAUCCCCAGGCUCAACUUGGGAACUGCGUCUGAUACUGGAUGGCUUGAAUUCGGGAGAGGGAUGCAGAAUUCCAGGUGUAGCGGUGAAAUGCGUAGAUAUCUGGAGGAAGACCAGUGGCGAAGGCGGGUCUCUGGACAGUUCCUGACACUGAGGCACGAAGGCCAGGGGAGCAAACGGG
rnacentral:rRNA from 1 species